rnacentral:rRNA from 1 species
AUUGAACGCUGGCGGCAGGCUUAACACAUGCAAGUCGAGCGAGCGGCGGACGGGUGAGUAAUGUCUGGGAAACUGCCCGAUGGAGGGGGACAACUACUGGAAACGGUAGCUAAUACCGCAUACCAUCAGAUGUGCCCAGAUGGGAUUAGCUAGUGGGGGGGGUAAUGGCUCACCUAGCCGACGAUCCCUAGCUGGUCUGAGAGGAUGACCAGACACAAUGGGACUGAGCCACGGUCCAGGCUCCGACGGGAGGCAGCAGUGGGGAAUAUUGGACAAUGGGCGCAAGCCUGAUGCAGCCAUGCCGCGUGUGUGAAGAAGGCCGUCGGGUUGUAAAGCACUUUCAGCGAGGAGGCGUUACUCGCAGAAGAAGCACCGGCUAACUCCGUGCCAGCAGCCGCGGUAAUUC